GAAGAAACCUCAAGCCGGCGCAAUAUACCUCUACACACAAGUCCCCACGGUUGCACAAGUUUGAGUUGCAGAACAAUCCUUCCUCCUUCCACAGCCACGCAAAACCAUAGCACAACCCUUCCUUUUUGCCAAGCACGGGCAAGUUUAAAGUUCCUGAUGACAAAUUGGAUGUAUUCAAAAAAUGGAUACUAAAGGACUUGGGGAAGAAAUGGAAAGAGUACAAGCAUGAGUUGAAAAAAAAGUUACUUAAUGAAAAUGACACAUCUGCAGCACAAGUUGUGGCAAGGGCAAGUCCCGAUAUGGUGGACUUAAAAACUGGCAGAGUUGGCCAAUCUUUGGUUUGAUCCAGAAUAUAUGUCAAAAUGUAAUAAAAAGAAAGAGUGUCGUACGAAGCGGGUGAUUGUUCACAGCGGAGGAUCGAAAAGUUUAGCAAGAUAUGCCCAUGAUGUGGUAUUUAUUUAAUUAAUAUUUAUUUAUUGUUGAAUAUUUGUUAGUUCUUUGUUUUCGAUAUAUGUGUUUAAUCUAAAAUAUUGGAAGCAGAAAAA